ACAAUAACACAUCAUCUAUUAUAUGCAUAGUAUAUAAUCACAAAAUAAUAUUUCAUGCAUGUCAAUUGUAAGGAUAAAAAAAUUAUGAGUUCAUGAAUCUGCACACUUUUUCCUCCCUUUCUCCAGGCCCUAAGGGGGAAAGGGUCUCGCCUGCUGGGUAAGCCUCCACAGUGCAUUUACUGAGAAACCUGGAUAAUGAGCAGAAAUCAACAAAAACCAAAGAAGCUAUAGAGACAUAUGAAGUCUUUUACGAAGGACUAGUUAAGUUGGAAAGGGUUGGUGGAAUUCUGUGCCUGAAACAAGCCUUCAGGCAAAACCAAGAAGAACUUAACAACGACAAAGAGUAUGUGAACGAUCUCAAUGUAGCUAUUACCAAAAAUACCAAUAAACAUUGACAAGAGCUUA